rnacentral:rRNA from 1 species
GAAGUUAAAGGCUGUGGCUUAACCAUAGUACGCUUUGGAAACUGUUUAACUUGAGUGCAGAAGGGGAGAGUGGAAUUCCAUGUGUAGCGGUGAAAUGCGUAGAUAUAUGGAGGAACACCGGUGGCGAAAGCGGCUCUCUGGUCUGUAACUGACGCUGAGGCUCGAAAGCGUGGGGAGCGAACAGGAUUAGAUACCCUGGUAGUCCACGCCGUAAACGAUGAGUGCUAGGUGUUAGGCCCUUUCCGGGGCUUAGUGCCGCAGCUAACGCAUUAAGCACUCCGCCUGGGGAGUACGACCGCAAGGUUGAAACUCAAAGGAAUUGACGGGGGCCCGCACAAGCGGUGGAGCAUGUGGUUUAAUUCGAAGCAACGCGAAGAACCUUACCAGGUCUUGACAUCCCGAUGCCCGCUCUAGAGAUAGAGUUUUACUUCGGUACAUCGGUGACAGGUGGUGCAUGGUUGUCGUCAGCUCGUGUCGUGAGAUGUUGGGUUAAGUCCCGCAACGAGCGCAACCCUUAUUGUUAGUUGCCAUCAUUCAGUUGGGCACUCUAGCGAGACUGCCGGUAAUAAACCGGAGGAAGGUGGGGAUGACGUCAAAUCAUCAUGCCCCUUAUGACCUGGGCUACACACGUGCUACAAUGGCUGGUACAACGAGUCGCAAGUCGGUGACGGCAAGCUAAUCUCUUAAAGCCAGUCUCAGUUCGGAUUGUAGGCUGCAACUCGCCUACAUGAAGUCGGAAUCGCUAGUAAUCGCGGAUCAGCACGCCGCGGUGAAUACGUUCCCGGGCCUUGUACACACCGCCCGUCACACCACGAGAGUUUGUAACACCCGAAGUCGGUGAGGUAACCUUUUAGGAGCC